rnacentral:rRNA from 1 species
UACGAGGGGGGCAAGCGUUGUUCGGAUUUAUUGGGCGUAAAGGGUGCGUAGGCGGUUUGGCAAGUCUUGUGUGAAAUCUUCGGGCUCAACCCGAAGUCUGCACAAGAAACUGCCGGGCUUGAGUAUGGGAGAGGUGAGUGGAAUUUCCGGUGUAGCGGUGAAAUGCGUAGAUAUCGGAAGGAACACCUGUGGCGAAAGCGGCUCACUGGACCAUAACUGACGCUGAUGGCACGAAAGCUAGGGGAGCAAACAGG